rnacentral:lncRNA from 1 species
CAAGUUUUUAUUUAUGAUAAUGAUAACACAGGGUUACAACAAGUAUACUUGCUGAUAAUAUACAUUAUUACACAGAAUAAAAUUUACCUUACUAUGCUACAACAAUCUUUUUUACAAUUGAUGAUACUUUUGUUAUAUAUAGACAGAUGUAUUUACAACAAGCAAUAAAUCCAAAAAACUUAACCAAUGACUUAUAGCUAUAGUUAAAGAACCACUUUUCCUUUGAAAAUACAAUAUCUAAAACUUGAUUUUUUGUUUAUUUUCCAAUCCAUACCUCCAAAUUAGUUGAGGUUAGAGUUUUUAAACUACUUUAGAGAUUUAGUCCAGAUUUGUAAUUUCAAAUAACUGUAAAACAAUACAUAUUAGCCACUUUACCAUGAGAAAUAAUGUGAAUAAAAAUUGUGAUAAUAUGUCAAACUAUAUAUUCCCCUCAUAUAAAUAAAAUGCAAUGAAAGAAUUUGUUUACAGUAUUACAAUUGACCAGAAAGUCGGUCAAAUUGCUAUUUUACAUAACACAUUUAUUUGCCCUAUUAAAAAAUUAAAAACCAGGUUAAUGUAUUCUGAAGAUAUUGUUGAAUUCAAAGGGCAGUUUGUAUGAUGGAAAAAAUGUAUUCUUAAGUACAAAUAAUGGUGCUUUCGAUUGAUUGUUGGAUUGCAAUUUUCUAAUCUACCAAGGACCAUGACUUCUAGGCAGCUAAAGUGAAAAGUCAUCAAUUUUUAAUUUGACCUCAAUUUUGUCAAAUGUAUUAAUAUUUGAAAAGCAUUGGUUGAACAAUACAUAAGUUUUUGAACAAUAACAAAAUACAUAGCGAUUUCCUAAUAUAUGAAGGACCAAAACUCUUAACAAAAUGGCAAAAUGAAAAUUGAAAUUAUAAAAUUUAACCUCCAUUUUGUCAUCAGUAAAACAUAACAUAUAAAGGAGUAGGUCCGGUAAGGGCCGAUUUCGGCCUCAAUUUUCAAGUUCAUCUAACGAAAGAUUUUAGACACUUUUUAAACACUUGAAUGUCUAUUUCAAUUGAUCCAAUUAGUUUUUGUGAAAGAUUUUAACUGAUAAAGUCAUUAAAAACGCUCAGAUUCAAGCUUAGAUAUGAAAAAUCUAUCAAAUAUGCCAAAAAUCGUAACUUUUCAGAUAGUUUUUGUCAAAAAUGAAAGUGGCCGCAUCCGUGUUCAUCCUCAACCUCUAUAUAUAUUGUGUAUUAUCAUCAAAUACAACUUGCAUUUCAAUAUUAUGAAUGAACACGAAUGGGGCCACUUUCAUUUAAGACGGAAACCGUCUAAAAUUUAACUAAAAUGCUAAAAUUGUGAAGAUUUCAGUUAUUUAGCAUGACUUAAUGAUGCUAGUACCCGAUAUAUAUGCAUUGUAUUGUAAAAAAAAAGCCCAUAUUUAUGUAGCAGAAGCAUUCUUCUUUUCAAUGAAUAUCUUAACGAUUACAUUUUCACAAUUUUCUAAAACUGCUACAUUUUGGGGCCAAAAAGGGGUCUUACUGAACCUACUCCUUUGAAAAGCUCAGUAGAACACACAAAUCAUAAGUUAUUGCAAGGAUUGUAAGGAAACAACAUAAAGUGCCAUUUUUCAAACUUCAAGAACAGCAACUCCUGAACUGCAAAAGUAAAAAAUGUCAAUUUUGAACUUGACCUCUAUUUAGUCAUCAGUAACGAUCAGUAACAAAAUACAUGUAUUACAAUUUGAAAAACAUUGGUGGAAUGGUACAUAAGUUAUUGCAUAGUAACUGUUGGCAGACGCCCAAUACCCAAUAAAAUUCAUGAUGUUGUUAUAUUUAUUUUAUGAUAACAUAUAUACUAUCAGAUGAUAACAUUCUAGACAUUGUUGUUGGUGUUUAAUUUAAUUUCAAUUUCAAUAUGCUAAUAUCUGGCUAUUAUAUCAUUCAGUCUAUAAAAAAUCUGUUUUAUCUCACAAUUUUAAAUAAACAAAUGCAGCUGUUUUUCAAAAAAGUUAAAUUUAAGAUGUAAAAUUUUGUGUGUUAAAUAUCAAUUUAAUUUUUUUUUAAAUCUGAAAUACCCUGUAUGAAUUGAAUUUACUCGUCCUUAUUUUGUCUUCCUUUCAAACGAGAAGAUUCUUAUACAUUAAUAAAGAAACCCUCCUUUGGUAUAUUUAGAAUAGAGAAAAUGGCUGAAUCCAGCAACACGACAGUUUGCAAGUUUUAUAAAACAUCUUAAUAUUUGCCAGAAUUCCCUGCUCUACUGUGCAAAAAUAAUUUGGAGGUACACAUGUAUGUUACAUGUUCAUUAUGAGUAAACAAGAUAAAAACUACAAUUAUUAAGUACAAAUAAUAUGAAAAUUGACACUAUUUUUAUCUACUAUCAACAUAUUAUAAAUACACACGAAUAUAGAACUACAGUAACUUAGCACUUCAUGUAGAGUUAUGACAACUAUGUUGAUUCAUGGAAGUAUUACAUUGGCCCUUUAUUUGUGCAUACAGAAUAAUUUUUUAUGUAAAUUAGGCCAUUAUUUUUCUUGCUAAAAUUGUUAUACAUUUGUCAUUUUGAGGCCUUUUAUAGCUGUCUAUGCAGUAUAGUGUAUUUCAAUGUUGAAUGCCACUGUAUAGCCUAUGGUUGUUAAAUGUCUGUGUCAUUGGUGUCUUAUGGAGAGUUGUCUAAUUUGCAAUCAUACCACAUCUUCCUAUUUUUACAAAGCUGAAAUUUUUUCGAAGAAUUUAUAAAGAUAACAAAAAAGCAUUUGAUUUAAAUAUAAAAAAAAAUACAAGAAUUAAACUUAUACGGGACAUGCUGAGCUUAAAUGAACACAGCCCUGCACCACAAUAAAAGCAUAACAAUAACACAAAAAGACCUACAUAUGGGCUUUUACCAAAUCUAUUUUCUAUAUCAAAUACCAAGCAUAUGAAUAAACAUUUAUACUAAAGAUUAAAUAUAAAUCCAAUAAUUUUAGAGCUGAUUUCAAGUUUAAGUUGGUAUUUGUUAUCUACAUGUAUGUUCUAUGAUAUUUUUUUUUUAAAUUUCAAUAGCAUCCAAAUUUGCUUUGG